AACGAACGCUGGCGGCAGGCUUAACACAUGCAAGUCGAGCGCCCCGCAAGGGGAGCGGCAGACGGGUGAGUAACGCGUGGGGAUCUACCCAUCUCUACGGAAUAACGCAUGGAAACGUGUGCUAAUACCGUAUACGUCCUUCGGGAGAAAGAUUUAUCGGAGAUGGAUGAGCCCGCGUUGGAUUAGCUAGUUGGUGGGGUAAAGGCCUACCAAGGCGACGAUCCAUAGCUGGUCUGAGAGGAUGAUCAGCCACACUGGGACUGAGACACGGCCCAGACUCCUACGGGAGGCAGCAGUGGGGAAUAUUGGACAAUGGGCGCAAGCCUGAUCCAGCCAUGCCGCGUGAGUAAUGAAGGCCCUAGGGUUGUAAAGCUCUUUCACCGGUGAAGAUAAUGACGGUAACCGGAGAAGAAGCCCCGGCUAACUUCGUGCCAGCCGCCGCAGUAAAAC
rnacentral:rRNA from 1 species